rnacentral:rRNA from 1 species
CUUGCUACCUGACCUAGCGGCGGACGGGUGAGUAAUGCUUAGGAAUCUGCCUAUUAGUGGGGGACAACAUUCCGAGAGGAAUGCUAAUACCGCAUACGCCCUACGGGGGAAAGCAGGGGAUCUUCGGACCUUGCGCUAAUAGAUGAGCCUAAGUCAGAUUAGCUAGUUGGUGGGGUAAAGGCCUACCAAGGCGACGAUCUGUAGCGGGUCUGAGAGGAUGAUCCGCCACACUGGGACUGAGACACGGCCCAGACUCCUACGGGAGGCAGCAGUGGGGAAUAUUGGACAAUGGGCGAAAGCCUGAUCCAGCCAUGCCGCGUGUGUGAAGAAGGCCUUUUGGUUGUAAAGCACUUUAAGCGAGGAGGAGGCUACUUGGAUUAAUACUCUAGGAUAGUGGACGUUACUCGCAGAAUAAGCACCGGCUAACUCUGUGCCAGCAGCCGCGGUAAUACAGAGGGUGCGAGCGUUAAUCGGAUUUACUGGGCGUAAAGCGUGCGUAGGCGGCUUCUUAAGUCGGAUGUGAAAUCCNUGAGCUUAACUUAGGAAUUGCAUUCGAUACUGGGAAGCUAGAGUAUGGGAGAGGAUGGUAGAAUUCCAGGUGUAGCGGUGAAAUGCGUAGAGAUCUGGAGGAAUACCGAUGGCGAAGGCAGCCAUCUGGCCUAAUACUGACGCUGAGGUACGAAAGCAUGGGGAGCAAACAGGAUUAGAUACCCUGGUAGUCCAUGCCGUAAGCGAUGUCUACUAGCCGUUGGGGCCUUUGAGGCUUUAGUGGCGCAGCUAACGCGAUAAGUAGACCGCCUGGGGAGUACGGUCGCAAGACUAAAACUCAAAUGAAUUGACGGGGGCCCGCACAAGCGGUGGAGCAUGUGGUUUAAUUCGAUGCAACGCGAAGAACCUUACCUGGUCUUGACAUAGUAAGAACUUUCCAGAGAUGGAUUGGUGCCUUCGGGAACUUACAUACAGGUGCUGCAUGGCUGUCGUCAGCUCGUGUCGUGAGAUGUUGGGUUAAGUCCCGCAACGAGCGCAACCCUUUUCCUUAUUUGCCAGCGAGUAAUGUCGGGAACUUUAAGGAUACUGCCAGUGACAAACUGGAGGAAGGCGGGGACGACGUCAAGUCAUCAUGGCCCUUACGACCAGGGCUACACACGUGCUACAAUGGUCGGUACAAAGGGUUGCUACCUAGCGAUAGGAUGCUAAUCUCAAAAAGCCGAUCGUAGUCCGGAUUGGAGUCUGCAACUCGACUCCAUGAAGUCG